CGCAGACUAUGUGUGACACUGAGACCGAGAAAGCAAUGGACGACCUGCAUGAGGCUACCAUGGUAGAGCCCUUGACCAUGACUGAGACUGAGGAGGAAGUGUCCGCUGUCGUACUUAAGAAUACCACAGUUACAAGAAAAAAACAGUGGACACAGUGGGAAACUAUGAUGGCAGAAGACUAUAACUAUGCAAGGACUGUUCCAGCCUCUAAGAAGUGCAAAAUUUUCGCACCAACCCUCACAGAAGCUCACUUCCUUUUUUACACCGGCGUAUGAGCAGAUAUAGGUAUUUAAGGAAUUGGCAAAGGCCAUCACAGUUGAAAGAACCAAGAGAUUCAACAUUCGUGUUGAGGAUCAAAGGUUGAUGACCCUAACGAGACUGUGCUUAGGGCUCCUCUAUGGGCAUUUGUCCAGAAUUUUUGAAAAACCAGUUGCCUCUGUGCACAGCAUUGUGAAGCAUACGUUGUUUGCGCUAUGCAACGUAAUAAAAUAAGUGGUCCUCUCGUUACCAAGAGAGACCAUAAAAAACAGCAUGUCACCUUCUUUCAUUACAAGCGAUUAUGAAGGGACGACAUGCAUCAUUGACUGCACAGAGGUUUUUCUGCAUAGACCAAUGAAGCUGAUGCCUCGAGCACAGACAUAUAGCAAAUAUAAGGCGCACAACACUGUUAAAUUCUUGGUGGCCAUUGCGCCAAAUGGCUGCAUCAUGUAUGUGUCCAAUGUGGUCGGAGGACGAGCGUCUGGCAAAUUUAUAACUGCCGACUGUGGUAUUGAAAACCUCCUGGGUCAUGGUGAUGAGAUUAUGGCAGACAGAGGAUUCAGCCAAAGCCGAAACCUUGAGCUGCAAGGAGUCAACCUGAAUAUGCCGACCUUUACAAAAGAGAGGCCUCAGCUCUCCGAAGGAGACGUCACCAGAUCAAGGAGGAUCGUUUCAUUGCGUAUACACGUAGAACGAGCAAUUAAUAGAAUCAAGA